CUGUAUGCAUUGUCUGGUGUGCAUCUGACUAACCUUCUCUAGUACAUCAGUACACACACAAAAUUUCUUAAAUUCUGUGAUUCGUACAAUAAAAAAAAGAAAAAAAAUGAUAUUGUUGCAAUACUUCAGGUUUCAUUGACUUUUCCUAAGUGGUAUAUCUUAGACUUGUGCAUCCUGUUUUGUCAGAAUUUAGACCUAUCUAUGGUCCAUUUCUCCAAAGUGUAAUACAAAAGUAGAAACGAGCAAACAACUAGUGCAAUGAAUGAGAAUGUUCAUUUGCUUCAAGAUAUGAAGUUCACCAAGAAAGAGAUGAUUGGCAAAAAAUUGUUUAUUAAUGGCUAGGAGACAACCAUGUCUUGACUUUGUUGACUUUAUUCACAGAUCAAGUAAGAAGUGAACAGUAGAGAGUGAAAGAGUAGUAAA